UGGGGAAUAUUGCACAAUGGGGGAAACCCUGAUGCAGCGCCGCCGCGUGGGGGAAGAAGGUUUUCGAAUCGGAAAGCCCUGUCCUAUGGGAAGAUAAUGACGGUACCAUAGGAGGAAGCCCCGGCUAACUACGUGCCAGAAGCCGCGGUAAUACGUAGGGGGCAAGCGUUGUCCGGAAACACUGGGCGUAAAGGGUUCGCAGGCGUAAAUGCAAGUCAGUUGUGAAAGGCAGAGGCUCAACCUCUGUAAGCAAUGGAAACUGUAUUUCUUGAGAUGUGGAGAGGCAAGUGGAAUUCCUAGUGUAGCGGUGAAAUGCGUAGAUAUUAGGAAGAAUACCGGUGGCGAAGGCAACUUGCUGGACACAAACUGACGCUGAGGAACGAAAGCGUGGGUAGCAAACAGG
rnacentral:rRNA from 1 species